GAAUUAAAUGUAUAUGUUUUUUUUCCUUUAUCUUCAUGUAAUAAAUGUUCAUCAAAUAUAAUUACAUAGCUGGUGGAUUAUCAUAUAAAUGUUUAUUUCCAUUUUCUUUGCUACUUUAUGUCAGUUUGAUUGUGAGAUGUUAUUUUGCUUCUUCAAGUAUAUUAACAAUUGCUAUACAAUAUAAAUAAAUAAUCUUUUUUAUAUAAUCAUACUUUUUCGUUCAUUUUAUUUGAUCGUGAGAAUUUCCGCGUUAGUUUUUUUCACUAUGCUAACUCAAACAUAAAAUAUAAAUUACUGGAAUUGUUUGUAACAAACAAACUCUGUAGAAUUUGUUUAAUAAAACCAAACAUUUUUUGAAAAAAAAAUAGUAAAAAAAAUGAUGGAAAUUCAAUAAAAUUAAUAAAAGUAAGUGUAGUAAGUAGCUUGAAUGUUAAAUUUAUAAUAAAGUUAUAAAUUAAAAUUGAGCUUUCAUAUAUAUAUAUAUAUAUCUAAAUCAAAUAAACGUUUUUAUUAUUUUAAAAUAUCUAUAAGUUUUAUUAUCAUCAAGUCUUUGCAUUAAAUAUCUGUUUAUUUUAAAAAUACUUUAUGUUUUAUUAAACUAUUUUUCUUUUAACAUUCUCUGGUUAAGUUCUUUAUUCCAUACACUGGUUUUUUAUAUUUUUAAGAAUUUCUUGAAGACGUAUUUUCCAGAGCAUCAUAUAUUUUUCAUAAGAUACUUGGUCUAUUCAUGUUACAAAAUCAUAUUAUAUUUUAUUUGAGAAAUGUAUAGUACUUAGAAUAUCAAAAUAUUAUGAACUAUAUACAUAUAUGGUACGUAUAAAUUUUAUAUUUGCUUAUUUUUGUUAACACACGACUUUAUGAUAUCGUUUUCCUUUUAGUGAAAACAGAUUUGUUUAAAUAAUACUAUUUUAAUAUAUUUCUUUCAUUGAUAUUCUUUGCUUUCAGUUGUUAUAUGAUUUUUAAUAUUUUUAAAUCUAUGUUUAUAUACGGCAAAACAAACGACAUCAUUAUCCAGUUUUAUACUUUUUUUAAGCUAUUUACUAUGUAUUAUAGUUAUAUAUGUCUCAUCAAUAAUCCUAUUCCAAGUAUUCUCUGAUAUAAACAUUGAUGUAAGUGGAUAACAAAAUUUUUUACGAUUUACCAUUUCCGUAUGAACGAUCGUAGAAUUUUUUUAAUAAGCUUAUCAUUUUAAUGACAAAAAGAUUUGUUUAAAAACAUAAGUAUUAUAUAUUAAAGGAGUAUAACAGUAUAAAUGUCUAGAGCGAGAAAAUGUAAAAAUGGAAGAGAUACGAGCUUAUUAUUUCUUUUUAUUAACAUUUUUCCUAAUUUGUAUUUAAAUCUUUCACAGAAUUUCUUACGGAAUGGUUCUUCAUUACAUUUUUUAUCUAGCUGUGCUUUAUAUGAAUGUCUUUUAAAAUGCAAUCCUAUUUCUUUUUCUGAAUCAUGUCUUUUGACAGACCAAGAUUAAUACUUUUUAUGCAUAUGCAGAUCUUUAUAUAUGUAGCGGUCGUCCAUAUAACGUUUCAAUUCUCGGAAACGAUCGUUGAAUUUUAUUAAUAUUUAAUCUUUCUCAUAAUAAAAAGGCUUGAUUAAAUGAUUACAAAUAUUAGGUCUGUAGCAGACAAAUUGUAGAGUUUAUUUAUAUGUCGAAAUCUGACAAUGUGAAUCAAGAGAAAAAAAAUUAUAAUAAAAUUCAAAAAAAUUAAUAAAAACUAAAAAAGAAGAAAGAAAAAUCUGACAAAAUAUUUGAAAAAACAAGAUAUUUGAAUAAAAAAAGACAUUGAUGCUAUAUAUUGUUUUAGAAAAGAGGAUCAAAAAGAAUAAGAAAAAUAAAAUGUUAGAAAUAUACGUAUUGAUAUAUUUGAGAAAUUCGAAUUUUGUUAUUUUAUCAAAUGUUUUAAUAUUUUCUUUAUAAUAUUGCAAUAAAAUUUCUAAAGAUAUUGCUAAUAAUUAUAAUAUUAGCAGCUGUAAUUCCAUUUGAAACUUAUCUAAGGAUAUACAGAAAAAAGAUACCGUAACUGCUCCAAAUUAGAGCAGAUCUUUCGCAUUUUAUCCAAGAGAAGAGAACGCGUAGAAAAUAUCAUCAGAUUUUCAACAUAUAUAUUUAUAUAUAUCAUAUAAUUAUAAAAAUAUAAAAACACUUAAAUUAAUUCAAGACUUUCGAAAGUUCAACAAUUAGUAAUUGGACAUAUAAAAUUAAAAAAAGAAACAGAGUUAUGAUGCAUUUUUCAGCGUAAAUUCAAACAAUUAAGUUAAUUCAGGACUUUUGAAAUUUGAACCAAUAGAAAUUGGAUAUAUAAAGUUAAAAAAAGAUACAAUGUUUUAAUACAUUUUGCAGCCAAUUUCUAAUUGUUGAAAUUUCAAAAGUCCCGAACUAAUUUAAUUGUUUAAAUUUACGCUAGCUGCAAAAUUCUUUGAAAUACUGCAUUUUUUUUUAACUUUAUGUGUUCAAUUUCUAAUUGUUAACAAUAUAACAAAAAAAUCAAAUGCCUAUUUUUAGGGUAUCGAUCACGUAACCGUUUUUUUUAGCGGAAACGUGAAAAGUGGAGAUUUUUACCAUUGAAAUUAAUAAAGAAAUUUCUCAUUUUUCACGUUUUCGCCCUAGAGAAAAUGUUUCAUCAGAAUCCAGCGCUAUGCGAAAUUCAAAGUUCCCGUAUUAUUAAUGCGUACACUUCUUUUUUUUCGUCAAAUGCAACUGUAAUUUCCUUGCGUCAACGGAUAAACAUUUGCUUAUUAAAUUACAUUUUAGUAUGUUUUCAAACAUAUAGUGAUGUUAUUUUAAUUUAUCAAGCAUUUCAUAACAAGUCAAGAUUAAUUUCUAUGUAUAACUAACUAAGACUUUUUCAAACACUUAUUUAAUUUCUCGUUCGUUCGGAUAUAGUCGUGAGAUCCAUUAAUAACCAAUUUUUUCAUUACUCUUGCUCAAUGGAAAAUAUAUAAGUGACAGAGCAAAAGGCAGACUGUAAAGUCCAUUUACUUAUUGGAACUACGCGAUCGAAAUAACAAAAAGAAUAUUGACAAAAGUUUAAUAAAAUUAACAAAAGAUGAAUAGAAAGUUUGAUAAUUGAGAAAAAUUUCAACCAAGUGCAGUAUUUAUAGAAAAAAAAAACAAUAAAAAAAUCUCAGGUAAUUAGAAGAAAAGACGAAGGAGAAAGAUGACGAAACGAUAUUUGAACUUUGACUUUUAUUAUUUAAAAAAAUCGGAUUUUACAGUAUCAUUUAAAUAUGAAACUGUAGUUUACAAGUACACUCGUAAACAUUUUGCUGAUAAUCGUGACUGAUACUGGCCACCAUUUUAAUUCCAUCCCAACUUUGUCAAAAGAAAACCUCGACAAAUAAAACAUCGACGGAUAAAGCAUCGACGAGUGAAUCAUUGACAGACGAAACAUUGACAGAUGGAUGGCCAAGUCCACGGCAUAUUAUAGUUGUUCCGAAUAGAAAUGUCGUUGCUCGUCCGGAUGGUUAGAGGAAAGAUCAGCAUAGAAGGUGUCACGAUAUUCUUUAACAUAGUGUCAGGUAAAUACUAAUUUAAGAUUCGAUGUUUAUUUCUGUCUUAUACACGAUGCUUGGGAAUAUAAAAAGCGAGAGGUGACAUUUCUUAUCGAAAAAUUGAUUGAACAAUCAUUAUUUUUUUCUUUUCGCAGAAAUGGAAAGUAAUACGUUACAAGUAGAAUCCGAUCGAAACAAUCUUUUUUAAUUUUCGCCGAAACCGAGAACGAAUAUUGGGUUAUGUGUCAAUCAUUUUGCAUGAAACCGAAACUUUCAUGGAAAUGGAUUCUUUUCUAGAAAGGAAUUCUCCAAUUUGGGAUAUGUAUAGAAGCGAAUAUAUAAAUACUGCUUACCUCUUUCUUCAUUUUAUUGUACUCAAAAUUGUUGCGAAUUAUAACUCGAUGAACUUUAGUUACAUCAAAACUCCCUUUCAGUUUCGUCCGAAAUCGAAACCGAAUUUUUCGUCGGAUUCCCGUUACGAGUACCGCAUCGCCGUUGCUUUUACUUUUUUAUACUAACGAUUUUGUAAUGACAUUACAAUUUUGCAUAAUGGUAGUGGUAAUGCGUUGACAUAAUCCCUUUGACAAGUAAUUCGUUACUAUUACUCAUUAGUUACCUCGUUACGUGAUUAAUGUUACUAAUCCGUUACGAAUAAAGUAACAAGUUACAUUUUUUUCAAUGAGUAUAUACAUAUUACGUGCACGCGUAAUUGUAAUGAGUUACUUGUUAAAAAAGUGACUAUUCCAACUCUGACUUUACCAUUAUGAAAAACGGCAUAACGUCAUUAUCAAAUUGUUAUUAUAUAAAAGUAAUGAGUUGUGUAUAACGACGUUAUUCGUAACACAACUCAUUACUUUUAUCCCUGAUAAUGAUGUUAUUCUACUUCGUCAAGCGUCUCACAAUACGUCAAAGUUAAUUGCUAUGUACAAUUAGCUAAACGUUUUUUAAACAUUCAUUUGGCUUUUUGUUUCGAAUGGAAAAUUCCGUUUGUAGUGAAAAAAACCAGUUUUUUUUUUUUAAUACGCUUACUCAAUAAAAGAAAUAUACAUGACGGAUUUGGAAAAGGUAGACUCUCCAGGGUACGUUUACUGGAACAAAACGGUCAAAAUAAUGAAUGAAAGAAAUAUUCAAUAAAAUUAUCAAAAGAUAAAUAGAAGGAUAAUUGACAAAAAUUUCAAGUAAACACAGUAUUCACGGGAGAAAAAAAAAUAAAAAGUCUGAAAUGUUUAGAGAAAAAGUUAACUUAUUGUUAGAUAAAACGUAGCAAACAAUAUUUAAAUGUUGACUUUCCAAUCUUUUUGUUACUUCAAAAAUAAGGUUUAAUUUAAACAUAAACUUGCUCAUAAACAGUUUGUUUGAUAAUCGUAAUACUGGUUGUAAUUCCACCUUGAAUUUGUCGAGCGGAAACAGACGGAUGAAACGUCGACAGACAAAACAUUAACAGAUGCAUGGUAUAUUGUAGUUGUUCCGAAUGGAAAAGUUGUUACCGCUUGUCAAGAGGGUGGAAUCGGAGGAAAGAUCAGCGAUGUCGCGAUGUUUAACGUAGUACCGAGUAAUUUAAGAUUGGAUUUCUAAUUUAAAAUUGGAUAUUUAUUUCUGUUUUACAUACAGCGUUUGGUAAUAUAGCGAGAGAGUAAGAUAACGUUCCUUGUUAAAAACUGAUCGAAACAUCAAUUUUUCCACUAAGAUUUAAUUUCGCAUUAUAUUUUUUCUUAGCUCUUUUGAAUAUUAAAUGUUUUAUAAUAAUUAAAGAUUUGCCAAAAUAAUUUUAAUCAAUAUAAAAAACUACUUAUGUUCCAACAUAUUUAGCAAAGAGAGUUUCCGGGAACAUUUUUUAAUAUAUUAAUUAUAUAUAAUUAUUUAUAAAAUAUGUGUAAUUUAUAUAGAUUUUAAUAUAUAUGGACAUUUUAUAUAUAAUUAUAUGUAAAAUUAUAUAUACAUAAUAAAUAUAUAUGAAAAGUAUAUAAUAAUUAUAUAUAAUAAUUAUACAUAAUUUUAUGUAAUCAUCAUAUAUAAGUAUAUACAAAAAAGUAUUUUGCCGGGUUGUUUGAAUUUUUGACAAAAGAAAUAACGCUAUACGUGCCAGAUGCGUUAUUGCUGAACACUUCGUGUAAAAUAAAAUUUCAAGUUGAAUCUAACAAUGUCAGAACAUUUUAUAACGCAAGUUUAAUCUAAAUAAUAAAAAAAUCGGGGAAAAAUGAAGUUCCUUCUUUUGAGUCUGAUAAACUCUUGCAGUUUUCUUGCUGUCUUUUCUCUUGUGCGAACUUGUUGUUUCCAACGUCUCUGUAAUAGAUAGCGAACUCGGGAAAUGCGUAACUUACUGAUAUAUUAUCCUUGUUUAUUUGAGUUUAACCCGCGGGAAAAAUUAACUGAAAGUUGCUUAAAGGACGUAUGUAUUCACGUUCUCGCGACAGCGAUAUUCGAAAAUCAUAGCAAUGGCCUAUACAAUCCGGAUAGUCCACCACACGUCCAGUCUUCUCGAUUCGAUUACGAAUUAAGAAGUAACCGUCAGAAAAAAAAUCUCAUUUAUAUUAAAAACACGUAGCCAUUCGCAUCAAACCGCUCAACCGCUGAGGAACUCUCAACAAAGUAUGAAGCUGCUCGGGAUUUUUUAAUUUACUUUUAUUUUUUUAUUUGGAAAUUCCAACUAUUUCCGCAUUCACGUGCAAGAAGUUUCUCUAGUUUGAUGAAGUUUAACGAUUUCAAAUGAACGCACGAAGGAAUGAGAGCGAUUCUGCGGGGUUGGCUGGACGGUAGAUCUUUGAAAACUCCCGCUAGUUACGACAGUUUGUUGGUGGGCAACUUCUAGUAAUAUCGACAAGGUUGCGUCCGAGCGAGUUGGCAACUUCAGUGUAACUUUCCACCGUCCGUUCCACCCACACACUUGUUGCCCCCCUUGUAUGCUUGCGGGGGCAAGUAAGAGUGUGAUGGGUGAGCUAUCAUUAGCUCGGCAUUAUGCGACUAUGUGGUUGCCUUUUGUGUUCUCUUCGCUCUCGUGCCCCGUGCACAGUUUCGCCGAAUCUCUCAAAGGAAAACAAGAUCAUGAACUCCCCAUAUAUUUCACUGUCGGGAAAACGGCGUACCUCUUCUUACUGUCUGUAUCAGUGAAUAUCCGGCCGCCAGUCAACAGAUCUCUAAAUACUCGUGCUUAGAUUUCUAAAUAGGGUAACUGCGGUAUACAUGCCGCACCUAUCCAAAACUUAUUGUAUCAAGUAUUAUUUACUAAGCUUUAAAAAAAAUAAAUUAUACCAACAGAGGGUUCGUAUUGUUUACUAUAAAAAAAGCUUAGAAGGAUAAAAUAUUAAUUUUUUUAUACAUUGUGAAAAAAAAUGUUAAAAAACUUUACAGUUUGCUAUAUAUCUUAUAGGGAUUUGAAAUGGGUUCUGAUCGAAGUGGUGCGCUGCUGAAGCUUCAAUUAAGAAUCAUUUAAAGUUCCAAAGUAGCGGCCACAUUAAACUUGUGACGAGAAAUCACACGAACUUUCUUGUCAUUUGUAAGUAAAGAGAAUUUGGAUAAAACAGAUUCAUGAGGUCACUUUAAAACACUUGUAAAAACGGGCCUCAACUAUUUUUUUUCUCCACUAACAGUCAAUAAAUAAUAAAUAGUUGUAAAAGGCACGUGAAGUGAAGGCUAUUCAGACAGAAAAACAUACGGUUGAGCUGACGUUUCUUACGUGCCAUUUGUAAAUAAAAAGAAUUUGGCUAAAACAAAAUAAUGAAAUCGUUUUAAAACACUUGCGGAAAUGGGCUUCUCCACUCUUCUUUUCUUCUCCCGACAGUCAGUAAAUAGUCGUGAAAGGCACGUGAAGUGAAGCCUAUUCAGGCAAGAAAACACACGGAGAGCUGUUGAAAGGAGUGAAAAAUACGCUUCUACGUAUAAAAACCAAAGAUAAUUUCAUUUGCGGCUUAUUUUUAUAAUUUUGGUCAAAACAAGACAAUUUCACAUUUCCACAAUGAAGCAUAACAACGCAAUGACGGGCAAAAUAAAAUUUUAUCAUCAAUACGUCACUUUUUACGCCUAUUAGUUCUAAUUUUUUCCGUAAUAUUAUGUCGCUACGGUCAACGCGGGGUUCUCGGUCAACUAAUCAAGAUAGAAGAACAUCUUAUAGGAGUGAGAUAUAUGGUUACUUAUGUGUGCUUAUAUCAGCACAGUCCUCCAAGGGAUGUCCUAAAAAUGUCCAAAUAAAAUCCUAAAGAUGUGCCUUGAAUAAAGUGUGUAUAGGUGGGAUAAACGGCAAAUAGACAAUUUACAAAUAAUGAUAAUAAACAGAUAUAAAAUGACAUAAUUUAUGAAAUGUGUUCACAACGUUCAUUAGAGAACGAUAAACAUAUACGAAAUAAUAAUAAUGCAAUAUUAAAGAGGUUAUGUGCAGAGUUAUUAAGUAAAGCGUAGAUACGUACAUACACUUUGUAUGCUCUGCAUAAAAGUAAAUAGUGCCUCCCAAUUAUAGAGCGUCUGUACCGCGACAUUAAUUCUCGUCAGUUCAAAAUAGGGUCAAUUUGAUUCCAUAAUUUAAUUUUUACAUUUUUUUGCAUUUAAAAUGUAUAGCACAAUAAAUUUUAUGUUCUGUUUUUUAUCAUUUUCUUGUGCUUUUAUGGAAAUUUUCAAAAUUCUACAUCUUUUUUUUUUCCAAAAAUGACAAAUAAAGUCUCAUUAACUCCAUCUUGAGCAUUCAUGUUAAGAUCAUGAAAAUGCUAAUGUUGGUAUAAUUACAAUUAUACUUGGAGUUUUAGAAAUUAAGUCUUGUUAUAUAAUUUUAAAUUUGUGUUUCUAAUAAAUGUUACUAGUUGCUUUAAUUAUAAUUGUAAUUAGUUAUAUUAUUCUGAAAAACUUUGUGUUUCUAAUGUUGAGAGUUUUGCACUACUAUUUAUUUAUUUUUAUCAACAAUUUUUAAGCCUAAAAACAAUGAAAAUCUAUAAAGGUCAAAAUAAUCCCAUAGGAGCAUUUAGAAAAAUUUACAAUGGAUCAACGAGGAUUAAGUCCAGCGAGGCUUAAUAUAAAAGAAUGUUGUAUAUCCCAAACAGAGAUAAGAUGUACAAGACAUCAAACUAAAUGAACAAUAUAAGAAUAAUUUGUUAUGACCAAUUAUAUCAACACACAUUUACAUGGAGAAAAAUGGCUAAUCGAUCAAAAGCGGAUCUUAGUGCUCAAUAAUAAUUUUCGAAGUGAAUUUAUAUACCUCAAAAUUAUUUAUAUAUAAUUAAUAUCACAGAUUAAAUUGCUAGUCAAUAAUAUUGGAGUUACCCUACUUAUUGUUGCCCUACACAUUGAGUUCUUGAUGCCAACUAGAUUAGCUUUUAAACAUUUUGAUUCUAAUAUUUUAUAGUAAUGACGUAUAAUAUUGAAAAAUUAUAUUUUAAUUAUUAUAUAUUACAUUUUUUUAUAAAAAUUAAUAUCAAUAUUUGUUAUCAGUUUUUACUACUCUUCUUGUAUUUGAUUUUACUAAAAUGUUAAUUAAAGCUAAUUAUCAAAAAAUUAAAGUUUGAUUAACCAGAAAUUUAAUUAUUUAAUAAUAUUUUCAUAAUUUCAUUUUACGUUUUAGAAUAAAGAAUUUUGCGAUACUAGGCAGGGAAAGAAAAAGAAAGAAAGAGAGAAAGAUAGAGAACCCAUAAGGCGCUUUUCUUUAGAAAGUGCACUUUCAUGACAGAAAAGACAUAAGCUUCUCUACUUCUUUAUCAACUAUAAGUACAAUGCGUCGCGAUGCACUGGAAUAAUAAAUAUAACAAUAAACUGAUUCGAUAGGACAGGACAUUCUCCACAAGCUCAGUUUGAUAAAGGAAUAAAAUAAAAAUAUUGAAUAAAUAGUGUACACAGAAUACCUCGAUAAAACUCUAUUUCUUUUUUUUUCUGCCUAUAACAGUUUUCAUAUAUUAUGAAAAACUAUUCUUCCGCGUUUUCUUGUCUCGAUAAAUAUACAAUUCUUCCUCGUGGGAAAUGCGUCACGCUUUAUUUUCUUAUUCCAGCGCACCUAAACUAUGCAUUACUAUCCAUACACUGACAAAAAGAUCAAUCACCAAUGGUUGUUAAGUAUAGAAUUUACAUUUAAAUCAGGUACUCAGUUAAAUUAAUUCACAUUAUUCAUUCACGAUAGAAUCCCCCUCAAAAGCGGAUUAAAAAGAAUGUAUUUUGUCAAAACGUUGAAGUUUUGUUACUUCUGUAAAUAACUUUUAAAUAUGUAACAACUGCUUUUUCAGGGAAAACGCUGACUUUAAGUUUGCUUAAGAAAUCGUAAUCGAAACCGUCAAGUUGUUCAAUAUCUAGGUACUUGGUUCGAGGAAACCUAUAUAUUGUGCAAUCCCCCUCGAGAACUUAUUACGUUUAAAAUAUCGGGUAUCGCCAGAUUUUCUUCAUUUAUCUCUUAUUUUUCUUUUCUUCCCUUUAGAUUCAUUAACGAAAAAGACAUAUCUAUUGUGAAACGCGCUCGGAAAAUGAUAUCUUCAUAAUUUUUGCGGGAAAGUGGAACAUCGAGAAAUGUAACUGAAUAUUAUCCAAUCUUUAAAUUGAGAGCGUCAUUAAAAAAAUUCAAUGUGAAUAUUACGCGAUCCUUCAUAUUACUUUUCUCUUUUUACAUUGCGACGGUUUUUUACGCAAAUGGUACCAAUCUGCUGAUCAAAUUUACGUCGUAAUUACGAACAAAUUGACAAGUCGGAUCUAAAUUGACACAUUGAAUGAAAAUGGUUUCCAGAUGUUGCGAGGAGAGCGAUCGAAA